CAUGAAGGCCUCCAAUUAAGCACUUUCCAUCUAUUUUCAGUUUACAGUUGCAAAAGGUAAAGACCGAGCUCUCUCAAUCUGCAACGAUCAAACCUUUGACAUCUUUUGCAGAAAAUGGGCUUGUGGACGAUUUUGGAAGGGUUUUUGCUUCUUGCAAAUGCUUUGGCAAUAUUAAAUGAGGACCGUUUUCUUGCACCCAGAGGAUGGAGUUUCACGGAAUUCUCCGCAGGGCGGACGAAGUCAUUUAAAGGGCAGCUUAUUGGUCUCAUUUACGCUACACAAUACAUGAGAGUUCCUCUCAUAUUACUCAAUGCAAUUUGCAUUGUUGUAAAGUUAGUUUCUGGUUGAUGCUAUUCUAGAAUUCAUGAUGUUGAACCAGAAAAAGAGAAUUUGCAGAAGGUUCUGUGAAAGACAAAAGCAUUCAGUUUAGAAAUUAGCUGAUAAAAUCUUUUUGUAUAAUCAGUUGUUCUAAAGGUCGUUAUCCUCAUUUUUUAAAAUCGAACUUUAGGUUUCGUGAUGGGAUUGUUGGGAUUGUAUCGAACUCAGGAAUGUUACGGCUCAAGCAUUUUGUUAUAUUGGGACAGCUUCUGUACCCUGUCAUUUUGAUAUAUAUUGUGGCUGUUAUUGGUA